rnacentral:rRNA from 1 species
UGGCAAGUAGAACGCUGAAGAGAGGAGCUUGCUCUUCUUGGAUGAGUUGCGAACGGGUGAGUAACGCGUAGGUAACCUGCCUUGUAGCGGGGGAUAACUAUUGGAAACGAUAGCUAAUACCGCAUAACAAUGGAUGACACAUGUCAUUUAUUUGAAAGGGGCAAUUGCUCCACUACAAGAUGGACCUGCGUUGUAUUAGCUAGUAGGUGAGGUAACGGCUCACCUAGGCGACGAUACAUAGCCGACCUGAGAGGGUGAUCGGCCACACUGGGACUGAGACACGGCCCAGACUCCUACGGGAGGCAGCAGUAGGGAAUCUUCGGCAAUGGGGGCAACCCUGACCGAGCAACGCCGCGUGAGUGAAGAAGGUUUUCGGAUCGUAAAGCUCUGUUGUAAGUCAAGAACGAGUGUGAGAGUGGAAAGUUCACACUGUGACGGUAGCUUACCAGAAAGGGACGGCUAACUACGUGCCAGCAGCCGCGGUAAUACGUAGGUCCCGAGCGUUGUCCGGAUUUAUUGGGCGUAAAGCGAGCGCAGGCGGUUUGAUAAGUCUGAAGUUAAAGGCUGUGGCUCAACCAUAGUUCGCUUUGGAAACUGUCAAACUUGAGUGCAGAAGGGGAGAGUGGAAUUCCAUGUGUAGCGGUGAAAUGCGUAGAUAUAUGGAGGAACACCGGUGGCGAAAGCGGCUCUCUGGUCUGUAACUGACGCUGAGGCUCGAAAGCGUGGGGAGCGAACAGGAUUAGAUACCCUGGUAGUCCACGCCGUAAACGAUGAGUGCUAGGUGUUGGAUCCUUUCCGGGAUUCAGUGCCGCAGCUAACGCAUUAAGCACUCCGCCUGGGGAGUACGACCGCAAGGUUGAAACUCAAAGGAAUUGACGGGGGCCCGCACAAGCGGUGGAGCAUGUGGUUUAAUUCGAAGCAACGCGAAGAACCUUACCAGGUCUUGACAUCCCGAUGCUAUUUCUAGAGAUAGAAAGUUACUUCGGUACAUCGGUGACAGGUGGUGCAUGGUUGUCGUCAGCUCGUGUCGUGAGAUGUUGGGUUAAGUCCCGCAACGAGCGCAACCCCUAUUGUUAGUUGCCAUCAUUCAGUUGGGCACUCUAGCGAGACUGCCGGUAAUAAACCGGAGGAAGGUGGGGAUGACGUCAAAUCAUCAUGCCCCUUAUGACCUGGGCUACACACGUGCUACAAUGGUUGGUACAACGAGUUGCGAGUCGGUGACGGCAAGCUAAUCUCUUAAAGCCAAUCUCAGUUCGGAUUGUAGGCUGCAACUCGCCUACAUGAAGUCGGAAUCGCUAGUAAUCGCGGAUCAGCACGCCGCGGUGAAUACGUUCCCGGGCCUUGUACACACCGCCCGUCACACCACGAGAGUUUGUAACACCCGAAGUCGGUGAGGUA